UAAAGCAGGGAAAUAAAAAGCUACUUGGCU
rnacentral:piRNA from 1 species